GACGAACGCUGGCGGCGUGCUUAACACAUGCAAGUCGAACGAAGUGGCGAACGGGUGAGUAACGCGUAAUCAACCUGCCCUUCAGAGGGGGACAACAGUUGGAAACGACUGCUAAUACCGCAUACUGAAGGAGGGGAUUGCGUCUGAUUAGCUAGUUGGAGGGGUAACGUCCCACCAAGGCGAUGAUCAGUAGCCGGGCUGGGAGGAUGAACGGCCACAUUGGGACUGAGACACGGCCCAGACUCCGACGGGAGGCAGCAGUGGGGAAUCUUCCGCAAUGGACGAAAGUCUGACGAAGCAACGCCGCGUGAGUGAUGACGGCCUUCGGGUUGUAAAGCUCUGUUAAUCGGGACGCGGUACCGGAAUAGAAAGCCACGGCUAACUACGUGCCAGCAGCCGCGGUAAUUC
rnacentral:rRNA from 1 species